ncrna:unclassified sequences L31-Firmicutes ribosomal protein leader
CUAUGACUUAAUUUUAGUCAUGGCGAAAGGAG